GGCUUUUUGAGCUGUCAAGGCUGCUGAUGACUCCACAGAAGGGAGCUGGUUUACCAACCGAGACUUGGUGGGUUGUGACUGUUCUACUGUAUGCUACCUGUUUGCAGAGAGUUGAUUCUCCUGCAUUUCUGGGCUGGAGGAGGAACUACUGUUGAGGGAACAUUGGUUUCAUGCUGCAUAAAUACAUACACACUGAGGCUCAAACUCAGGGUGUUGCUCACACUAACACCGUCACUGAGCUUCUUCUCCAGCCUUGGGUCUACAUCUUUACAGAAACAGUUCCUUGGCCAUGCAGUCCUAGGGUACGGAAGUGUUCUGACUUUAUGUCCUGGAGUUGAGAGGCCUUCAAGGUCUCCCAAAGCAUGUGUAAGAAGGGAAAAAAGAAGACAAAGGACAAAACCUCGGUGCUCUCCACCAUUCAGAUGCCAGAUAUCUGAGGAGAAUGUAGAGUAAAUGAAGCUACCAGGGAGGGUUGCAAGAAAAGGGGAAGUCAGAGCACAGGCUACUUCUGGAAUUCAUCCAGGAGAAAGAAAUGAAACCUAGUAAUUCACUAUAAAGAAGUCACUCUUCCAAGAGGGAAGUCCAUGAAGUUGUUGGAUACCUUGUAAGAACAUAUAAUAUGGAAACAAAAUUAAGGGGAAGACUGUACUUCUCUGGCCAGGAUAAGUUCAUCAGACUGGACAUAAGCAGAAAUCCCUUUCCACAUAUGUUGAAAUGAGGCAUUGCCGGGAGCACACAAGAAGAGUCAGCAUUGGCACAGGCUCUCCCCACAUGCAGUGACCCCAGAGUUGACUGAUGCAUGGAUUACCACUUUGGGGGCCAGAUAGGUAAUGCAAAUUAUGUACUGAUAAAGCAGUUCUAUUAAAGUUGUACACAAAAAUAUUCAGAGGGUCAUUAAGAAAAACUGGAAAAUCAAUAAAAAAUGUCCAUCA